rnacentral:rRNA from 1 species
CCUACGGGUGGCAGCAGUGAGGAAUAUUGGUCAAUGGGCGGGAGCCUGAACCAGCCAAGUCGCGUGAGGGACGACGGUCCUAUGGAUUGUAAACCUCUUUUGUCGGGGAACAAAGGCGCCCACGGGUGGGCGGAUGAGUGUACCCGAAGAAAAAGCAUCGGCUAACUCCGUGCCAGCAGCCGCGGUAAUACGGAGGAUGCGAGCGUUAUCCGGAUUUAUUGGGUUUAAAGGGAGCGUAGGCGGGUUGUUAAGUCAGUUGUGAAAGUUUGCGGCUCAACCGUAAAAUUGCAGUUGAUACUGGCAUCCUUGAGUACAGUAGAGGUAGGCGGAAUUCGUGGUGUAGCGGUGAAAUGCUUAGAUAUCACGAAGAACUCCGAUUGCGAAGGCAGCCUGCUGGACUGUAACUGACGCUGAUGCUCGAAAGUGUGGGUAUCAAACAGGAUUAGAUACCCGAGUAGUC